rnacentral:tRNA from 2 species
GGUAAAAUGACCGAGAUCUAGGUAUUAAAUUGUAAAUUUAACCACGAAGUAAUAUCUUCUUUUACCA